UACAGAGGGUGCAAGCGUUAAUCGGAAUUACUGGGCGUAAAGCGUGCGCAGACGGUUGCGUAAGUCAGAUGUGAAAGCCCCGGGCUCAACCUGGGAAUUGCAUUUGAGACUGCGUAGCUAGGGUGCGGAAGAGGGAAGCGGAAUUUCCGGUGUAGCGGUGAAAUACGUAGAGAUUGGGAAGAACACCAGUGGCGAAGGCGGCUAUCUGGACGGUUUCUGACGCUAAGACGCGAAAGCGUGGGGAGCAAACAGG
rnacentral:rRNA from 1 species